GACGUAGGAGGCGAGCGUUAUCCGGAUUCACUGGGCGUAAAGGGCGCGUAGGCGGCCACUGCAAGUCGGUUGUGAAAUCUCCGGGCUUAACCCGGAAAGGUCAAUCGAUACUGCAGGGCUAGAGUGCAGAAGGGGCAACUGGAAUUCUCGGUGUAGCGGUGAAAUGCGUAGAUAUCGAGAGGAACACCUGCGGCGAAGGCGGGUUGCUGGGCUGACACUGACGCUGAGGCGCGAAAGCUAGGGGAGCGAACGGG
rnacentral:rRNA from 1 species